rnacentral:rRNA from 1 species
AGUGAACGCUGGCGGUAGGCCUAACACAUGCAAGUCGAACGGCAGCACAGUAAGAGCUUGCUCUUACGGGUGGCGAGUGGCGGACGGGUGAGGAAUACAUCGGAAUCUACUUUUUCGUGGGGGAUAACGUAGGGAAACUUACGCUAAUACCGCAUACGACCUACGGGUGAAAUCAGGGGAUCUUCGCACCUUGCGCGAUUGAAUGAGCCGAUGUCGGAUUAGCUAGUUGGCGGGGUAAAGGCCCACCAAGGCAACGAUCCGUAGCUGGUCUGAGAGGAUGAUCAGCCACACUGGAACUGAGACACGGUCCAGACUCCUACGGGAGGCAGCAGUGGGGAAUAUUGGACAAUGGGCGCAAGCCUGACCCAGCCAUACCGCGUGGGUGAAGAAGGCCUUCGGGUUGUAAAGCCCUUUUGUUGGGAAAGAAAAGCAGCAUGUUAAUACCCCGCUGUUCUGACGGUACCCAAAGAAUAAGCACCGGCUAACUUCGUG